rnacentral:rRNA from 1 species
AACGAACGCUGGCGGCAUGCCUAACACAUGCAAGUCGAACGAAGGCUUCGGCCUUAGUGGCGCACGGGUGCGUAACGCGUGGGAACCUGCCCCUCGGUUCGGAAUAACAGUUAGAAAUAGACUGCUAAUACCGGAUGAUGACUUCGGUCCAAAGAUUUAUCGCCGAGGGAUGGGCCCGCGUAGGAUUAGCUAGUUGGUGGGGUAAAGGCCUACCAAGGCGACGAUCCUUAGCUGGUCUGAGAGGAUGAUCAGCCACACUGGGACUGAGACACGGCCCAGACUCCUACGGGAGGCAGCAGUGGGGAAUAUUGGACAAUGGGCGAAAGCCUGAUCCAGCAAUGCCGCGUGAGUGAUGAAGGCCUUAGGGUUGUAAAGCUCUUUUACCUAGGGAGUGAUAAUGACAGUACCUGGAGAAUAAGCUCCGGCUAACUCCGUGCCAGCAGCCGCGGUAAAGUCGAAUAUCG